rnacentral:tRNA from 1 species
GUCGUCGGUGGCUCAGAUGGAUAGAGCGUCUGCCAUGUAAGCAGAAGAUCCCGGGUUCGAGUCCCGGUCGGGGCA